CCUACGGGAGGCAGCAGUGAGGAAUAUUGGUCAAUGGACGAGAGUCUGAACCAGCCAAGUAGCGUGAAGGAUGACUGCCCUAUGGGUUGUAAACUUCUUUUAUAUGGGAAUAAAAUGUUCCACGUGUGGGAUUUUGUAUGUACCAUAUGAAUAAGGAUCGGCUAACUCCGUGCCAGCAGCCGCGGUAAUACGGAGGAUCCGAGCGUUAUCCGGAUUUAUUGGGUUUAAAGGGAGCGUAGGUGGAUUGUUAAGUCAGUUGUGAAAGUGUGCGGGUCAAACGUAAAAUUGCAGUUGAAACUGGCAGUCUUGAGUACAGUAGAGGUAUGCGGAAUUCGUGGUGUAGCGGUGAAAUGCUUAGAUACCACGAAGAACUCCGAUUGCGAAGGCAGUUCACUGGACUGCAACUGACACUGAGGCUCGAAAGUGUGGGUAUCAAACAGGAUUAGAUACCCUGGUAGUC
rnacentral:rRNA from 1 species